rnacentral:tRNA from 2 species
GCUGAUAUGGCUCAGGUGGUAGAGCGCACCCUUGGUAAGGGUGAGGUCCCCAGUUCGACUCUGGGUAUCAGCACCA